UACUCCUACGGGAGGCAGCAGUAGGGAAUCUUCCACAAUGGACGAAAGUCUGAUGGAGCAACGCCGCGUGAGUGAAGAAGGUUUUCGGAUCGUAAAACUCUGUUGUGAGGGAAGAACAAGUACGAGAGUAACUGCUCGUACCUUGACGGUACCUCAUUAGAAAGCCACGGCUAACUACGUGCCAGCAGCCGCGGUAAUACGUA
rnacentral:rRNA from 1 species